rnacentral:rRNA from 1 species
UAGGGAAUAUUAGUUAAUGUGCGAAAGCGCGAACUAGCAACGCCGCGUGUGCGAUGAAGGCCUUCGGGUCGUAAAGCACUUUUCCGAGGGACGAGGAAGGACGGUACCUCGGGAAUAAGCAUCGGCUAACUACGUGCCAGCAGCCGCGGUAAAACGUAGGAUGCGAGCGUUAUCCGGAUUUACUGGGCGUAAAGCGCGUGUAGGCGGUUUGGUAAGUUGGAUGUGAAAGCUCCUGGCUUAACUGGGAGAGGUCGUUCAAUACUGCCGAGCUAGAGGAUGGUAGAGGGAGGUGGAAUUCCGAGUGUAGUGGUGAAAUGCGUAGAUAUUCGGAGGAACACCAGUGGCGAAAGCGGCCUCCUGGACUAUUUCUGACGCUCAGACGCGAAAGCUAGGGUAGCAAACGG